rnacentral:rRNA from 1 species
UACGAAGGGUGCAAGCGUUACUCGGAAUUACUGGGCGUAAAGCGUGCGUAGGUGGUUCGUUAAGUCUGAUGUGAAAGCCCUGGGCUCAACCUGGGAAUGGCAUUGGAUACUGGCGACCUAGAGUGCGGUAGAGGGGUGUGGAAUUCCCGGUGUAGCAGUGAAAUGCGUAGAUAUCGGGAGGAACAUCUGUGGCGAAGGCGACACCCUGGGCCAGCACUGACACUGAGGCACGAAAGCGUGGGGAGCAAACAGG